UUGAUCGUGUACCCCCAGGUGUCCUCCGACUCCACCAGGCCCUGUUCACCGAAGUAAUCGCCGUCGGCCAGGGUGGCCAGCACGCCCUCGUCACCGAACUUGCCGGCGCCGAUCUUGUUCACCUUGCCGUGGGCGAGGAUGAACACGUGCUCGGCGGGCGUCCCCUUCUCCACGAGCACAUCCCCGGCCUUGUACUCCUUCUGGGUGAACUGACCGGCCAGCGCGUUGAGCAUCUCGCCGUCGUCGAACCCGCGCAGGAGCGGCAGCUCGGUCAGCUCCUGGGGGAUGACCUGCACCUUGCUCCCGGUGCUGAUGAAGCUCACCCGCCCGUCGCCCACGGCGUAGCUCAGGCGGCGGUUCACGCGGUACGUGCCGCCGUUCACCUGCACCCACGGGAGCAUCUUCAGCAGGGAUCGCGAGCUGAUCCCCUGCAUUUGCGGCUCGGACUUGGUCGUCGUCGCCAGGUUCCGUGCCGCUUCCGUGCUCAGGCUCAACUGCGGCUUGAG
rnacentral:antisense_RNA from 1 species